GCUGGCGGCAUGCUUAACACAUGCAAGUCGAACGGUAGCACAGAGAGCUUGCUCUCGGGUGACGAGUGGCGGACGGGUGAGUAAUGUCUGGGAAACUGCCUGAUGGAGGGGGAUAACUACUGGAAACGGUAGCUAAUACCGCAUAACGUCGCAAGACCAAAGAGGGGGACCUUCGGGCCUCUUGCCAUCAGAUGUGCCCAGAUGGGAUUAGCUAGUAGGUGGGGUAACGGCUCACCUAGGCGACGAUCCCUAGCUGGUCUGAGAGGAUGACCAGCCACACUGGAACUGAGACACGGUCCAGACUCCUACGGGAGGCAGCAGUGGGGAAUAUUGCACAAUGGGCGCAAGCCUGAUGCGGCCAUGCCGCGUGUAUGAAGAAGGCCUUCGGGUUGUAAAGUACUUUCAGCGGGGAGGAAGGUGUUGUGGUUAAUAACCACAGCAAUUGACGUUAUCCGCAGAAGAAGCACCGGCUAACUCCGUGCCAGCAGCCGCGGUAAUACGGAGGGUGCAAGCGUUAAUCGGAAUUACUGGGCGUAAAGCGCACGCAGGCGGUCUGUCAAGUCGGAUGUGAAAUCCCCGGGCUCAACCUGGGAACUGCAUUCGAAACUGGCAGGCUGGAGUCUUGUAGAGGGGGGUAGAAUUCCAGGUGUAGCGGUGAAAUGCGUAGAGAUCUGGAGGAAUACCGGUGGCGAAGGCGGCCCCCUGGACAAAGACUGACGCUCAGGUGCGAAAGCGUGGGGGAGCAAACAGGAUUAGAUACCCUGGUAGUCCACGCCGUAAACGAUGUCGAUUUGGAGGUUGUGCCCUUGAGGCGUGGCUUUCGGGAGCUAACGCGUUAAAUCGACCCGCCUGGGAAGUACGGCCGCAAGGUUAAAAUUCAAAUGAAUUGACGGGGGCCCGCACAAGCGGUGGAGCAUGUGGUUAAUUCGAUGCAACGCGAAAAACCUUACCUGGACUUGAACAUCCACAGAACUUUCCAGAGAUGGAUUGUGGCCUCCGGAAAUGUGAGACAGUGCUGCAUUGCUUGUCGUCGCUCGUGUUGUGAA
rnacentral:rRNA from 1 species